rnacentral:rRNA from 1 species
GACGAACGCUGGCGGCGUGCUUAACACAUGCAAGUCGAACGGAAAGGCGCUGCUCUUGUGGGGUGCUCGAGUGGCGAACGGGUGAGUAAAACGUGAGUAACCUGCCCUUGACUUUGGGAUAACUUCAGGAAACUGGGGCUAAUACCGGGUAGGAGCUCCUGCUGCAUGGUGGGGGUUGGAAAGUUUCGGCGGUUGGGGAUGGACUCGCUGCUUAUGAGCUUCUUGGUGGGGUAGUGGCUUACCAAGGCUUUGACGGGUAGCCGGCCUGAGAGGGUGACCGGCCACAUUGGGACUGAGAUACGGCCCAGACUCCUACGGGAGGCAGCAGUGGGGAAUAUUGCACAAUGGGCGGAAGCCUGAUGCAGCAACGCCGCGUGCGGGAUGACGGCCUUCGGGUUGUAAACCGCUUUCGCCUGUGACGAAGCGUGAGUGACGGUAAUGGGUAAAGAAGCACCGGCUAACUACGUG